rnacentral:rRNA from 1 species
UUUCCCUCAGGAUAGCUGGCACUCGCUUGAGCGAGUCUCAUCUGGUAAAGCGAAUGAUUAGAGGCCUUGGGGCCGAAACGACCUCAACCUAUUCUCAAACUUUAAAUGGGUGAGAUCUCUGGCUUGCUUGAACGUUGAAGCCACGAGAUAAAAAGUAAAUGCAAUGGAUCAGAGUGCCAAGUGGGCCAAUUUUGGUAAGCAGAACUGGCGCUGUGGGA